rnacentral:rRNA from 1 species
AGUGAACGCUGGCGGUAGGCCUAACACAUGCAAGUCGAACGGCAGCACAGUAAGAGCUUGCUCUUACGGGUGGCGAGUGGCGGACGGGUGAGGAAUACAUCGGAAUCUACUUUUUCGUGGGGGAUAACGUAGGGAAACUUACGCUAAUACCGCAUACGACCUACGGGUGAAAGCAGGGGAUCUUCGGACCUUGCGCGAUUGAAUGGGCCGAUGUCGGAUUAGCUAGUUGGCGGGGUAAAGGCCCACCAAGGCGACGAUCCGUAGCUGGUCUGACAGGAUGAUCAGCCACACUGGAACUGAGACACGGUCCAGACUCCUGCGGGAGGCAGCAGUGGGGAAUAUUGGACAAUGGGCGCAAGCCUGAUCCAGCAAUACCGCGUGGGUGAAGAAGGCCUUCGGGUUGUAGAGCCCUUUUGUUGGGAAAGAAAAGCAGCAGGUUAAUACGCCGCUGUUCUGACGGUACCCAAAGAAUAAGCACCGGCUAACUUCGUG